UCAAGAGCCCCGGCCGCUUGUUUCUAGGACCCAGUAAAUUGGAGUGUAGUACUCCGUACCUCCCUGGAUGUGCUUAUCUGGGUCGUUGAAGCCGCUUCCACGGGCGGGCCGCGGCCUGGGGAUCAGCACCAGCAGUCCCUGGAUGUGUCCCGCGUCCCCCCGCCUCGGCUGCAGACCAAAGCGGCGCCAUUGCCACCCUCGACCGAGCGUAGGAAGAUGAGCGGCAGCCCGGAGGGGGCCGAGCUUGCCGGAUCUCGCCCACCGCCGCCCGGGUCACAGGUGCUGGAGGCGCCCUCGUCGAGAGCCGCGGUUGUAUGCUGGGGGCUCCGGAGUCGGCGGCGGCAAUGGCGCACCAUGGGUUGCUCAUGGUGGGCCGAUUCAGCCUCCGCCAGGGGGUUCCCUUGGAUCUCGAAUCAGUCGUCGACUCUCGCCUGGUCCUGCGGUGCAGCUAUAACUCCAGCUGCAGAUCCAGGUCAGUCCCACCUCCCUCCUCUCGCACCGUUCCCAGACGCAGAUCUACAAGUCCGGAGAGGAUGGAUGUGUUUAGCUCCUCAAUUGUUUCCGAAUCACCUGAUGCUGCUUGUUGUGAUUUACAAACUUUCAGUAAUUUGAUCGAUGCCGCGGCUCCCCUCCGCACCCUGCACAGAUGCAGAUCUUUUCUUUUAAAUCAUCUGCUGCUGUAUGUUGUACUUUAGAAACUUUAACUUUGAGCAGUACUUCAUUUCUCUAAGAAAACAAGUCUUAGCCACAUAAAACAACUUUGAGCAGAGACAUAUCUUUUAAAUCAUCUGUUGCUGUAUGUGGUCCUUUACAAACUUUAACUUUGAGCAGUACUUCAUUUCUCUAUGAAAACAAGUUUUAGCCACAUAAAACAACUUUGAGCAGAGACAUUUCUUUUAAAUCAUUUGUUGCUGUAUGUGGUCCUUUAGAAACUUUCACUUUGAGCAGUAGUUCAUUUCUCUAUGAAAACAAGUUUUAGCCACAUAAAACAACUUUGAGCAGUGCCAUCCAGACACACUUGAGCAUUUCUUUUAAUCAGCUGCUGCUGUGUGGUGUUGUAUAUACUCAUUUGGGCACUACUGCAGCCGGUUUCGUCGAAGCAAGGGCAAGACAUUGAGCUUUAUGAGCAGUGGCCAAAUUGUGAUCAGGUUGACGUAGCCUGUAGCGAUGGUGAGGCACCUGGACCUGAUGGCGGCCACAGUGAUUUCUCCCUCUGUGGAGAUGAGUCUGGGUAUGCCAGUUCAGGAUCAUCUUUGUACAAACUAAAACUUUUUGUAGGCAAUGUCGAGAAAAUAUACACAUCAACUAUACUGGCAUCUCUUGGUGCAGCUGACUGUAGAGUAUGCUCUGCCCUCACCAGUAACAGAAUAUGUGAGAUUACCUCAACAUAAUCGUUAUUUCUAUUAGGGUUCGUCCAGGACAAAAUCCUAUUCCAGUUGCUCCAACCUUUUGCAUUGAUGAACUCAUGUAUGUUUCUUCAAUUUUGGCAACACUAAUACUGUUGUCCAGUUCGUUGAGAUGCUAACGAAGUGUCAAUUUCCAAAUUUCGGACUAGAGCACUACUAACAGUUCCAUUUCAACUAUGCCAUGACUUAAUAUACACAGUGAACCAAUCUUUCUAAAGUAGAGAAGGAUAUGCAUUUCAAGUAUACACAUAAACACAUUACUUAUUCUGCUUUAACAAGACUAUUAUGUGAAUUAUUGUCACUAGUUCGUUCAAACGUUAUGGCACAACAUAAGAAACUGAGGUUAUUCUUCUGUUCCCCUUUAUUUUGCAAACUAAUUUAUCAUCUCAUCAACAAUAUUUUUAGUUAAAUGUGGUCAAUCUAUUGUAUUUGAUCAUAGAUUUAACACAUUUUGAAAAUGUGAAAUGUUUGUAUUCACUUAUCUCUGUAUCACUAUGCAAAUGUUCUGGUUGUAGGUACAAGUCAUCUGCAACACUCCAUCCCAUCCGUCAACGAUGGCCUGAGCUAUGAGCAAGCCACCUCUUCAGUAAUACCCUAAUGAGUAAUGAGCAGCAGCCCUUGCAACCUAAUUUACAUCAACAUCAGGCUUUCUUUCACUAAGAACCAUAUGACCCUUCAGAUCAAAUUUCUGUUGAUUUUGUUAUUCCAUCAGGUCACAUCAGUGAGAGGCAAAUACCAAUCCGUGAGGUGUUAUUCCAUGUAUGAGAGGUUACAUCAUUUAUCUAUAAAGCUGAUUUUUUUUGUCAGUCCUGUUAUGAGAGAUCCUCAAAAGUAAAGAGAGUAGUGAUGUGACCACAAAUUCUGAUUGUAAAGCUGUUGACUGAAGUUUGUACAGGACAAUUUUGGUGAAAAUUUGUAGUGAUAAUCAUUCAUGGCACCUUGGAGCAGCCAAAGGUACAA